GACGAACGCUGGCGGCGUGCUUAACACAUGCAAGUCGAGCGGUAAGGCCCUUUUGGGGGUACACGAGCGGCGAACGGGUGAGUAACACGUGGGUGACCUGCCCUCAGCUCUGGGAUAAGCCUGGGAAACUGGGUCUAAUACUGGAUAUGACCUUUCCUCGCAUGGGGUUGGGUGGAAAGUUUUUCGGCUGGGGAGUGGGCCCGCGGCCUGUCAGCGUGUUGGUGGGGUGAUGGCCUACCAAGGCGACGACGGGUAGCCGGCCUGAGAGGGCGACCGGCCACACUGGGACUGAGACACGGCCCAGACUCCUACGGGAGGCAGCAGUGGGGAAUAUUGCGCAAUGGGCGGAAGCCUGACGCAGCGACGCCGCGUGGGGA
rnacentral:rRNA from 1 species